rnacentral:tRNA from 1 species
GUGGGUGGAGCUUAGUGGUAGAACACAUGCUUACCAAGCAUGAGGUCCUGGGUUCAAUCCCCAGUACCUCCA